AGAACAUGCUAAAGAAAAGGAAGGAAAGAAUCCUACAGCUUUAAAAGAUAAAGAUUCUCUGAAAGGAAAGAAUCCCAAGAAUCCAGAGGUGUCAAAGGAAAAAGAGACUGGUAAAAGAAAAGAUGUGAAGCCCCCAG